rnacentral:rRNA from 1 species
AGAGUUUGAUCCUGGCUCAGAACGUACGCUGGCGGCACGCCUAAUACAUGCAAGUCGAACGAAGUAGCAAUACUUAGUGGCAGACGGGUGAGUAAUAUGUAGGUAUCUUCCCAUUGGUGAGGAAUAACACGAGGAAACUUGUGCUAAUACCUCAUAAGUCUUUACGGAGAAAGCUUUAUGCGCCGAUGGAUGAGCCUGCACUUGAUUAGUUUGUUGGUAGGGUAAUGGCCUACCAAGACAAUGAUCAAUAGCUGAUUUGAGAGGAUGAUCAGCCACAUUGGGACUGAGACACGGCCCAAACUCCUACGGGAGGCAGCAGUAGGGAAUCUUGCACAAUGGGGGAAACCCUGAUGCAGCGAUGCCGCGUGAGUGAAGAAGGCCUUUGGGUUGUAAAGCUCUUUCGUCGGGGAAGAAAAUGACUGUACCCGAAUAAGAAGGUCCGGCUAACUUCGUGCCAGCAGCCGCGGUAAUACGAAGGGACCUAGCGUAGUUCGGAAUUACUGGGCUUAAAGAGUUCGUAGGUGGUUAAAAAAGUUGGUGGUGAAAUCCCAGAGCUUAACUCUGGAACUGCCAUCAAAACUUUUUAGCUAGAGUAUGAUAGAGGAAAGCAGAAUUUCUAGUGUAGAGGUGAAAUUCGUAGAUAUUAGAAAGAAUACCAAUUGCGAAGGCAGCUUUCUGGAUCAUUACUGACACUGAGGAACGAAAGCAUGGGUAGCGAAGAGGAUUAGAUACCCUCGUAGUCCAUGCCGUAAACGAUGUGUGUUAGACGUUGGAAAUUUAUUUUCAGUGUCGCAGCGAAAGCGAUAAACACACCGCCUGGGGAGUACGACCGCAAGGUUAAAACUCAAUGAAUUGACGGGGACCCGCACAAGUAGUGGAGCAUGUGGUUUAAUUCGAAGAUACGCGCAGAACCUUACCAACACUUGACAUGUUCGUCGCGACUUUAAGAGAUUAAAGUUUUCGGUUCGGCCGGACGAAACACAGGUGCUGCAUGGCUGUCGUCAGCUCGUGUCGUGAGAUGUUGGGUUAAGUCCCGCAACGAGCGCAACCCUCACUUUUAGUUGCCAUCAUUUAGUUGGGCACUCUGAAAGAACUGCCAGUGAUAAGCUGGAGGAAGGUGGGGAUGACGUCAAGUCCUCAUGGCCCUUACGUGUUGGGCUACACACGUGCUACAAUGGUAUCUACAACAGGAAGCAAGACUGCGAAGUUAAGCAAAUCCUUAAAAGAUACCUCAGUUCGGAUUGCACUCUGCAACUCGAGUGCAUGAAGCUGGAAUUACUAGUAAUCGUGGAUCAGCGUGCCACGGUGAAUGCGUUCCCGGGUCUUGUACACACCGCCCGUCACACCAUGGGAGUUGGUUCUACCUUAAGGCAAGGUUUCAAACCCUUGACCACGGUAUAGUCAGCGACUGGGGUGAAGUCGUAACAAGGUAGCCGUA